AUUCAUCCAAUGUUACAUUUUGGGAGCUCAGUCUUCUUGCUAGAAUAUUAAAGAUCACAACCUAUCCUAUGCUGUCUCACAAACACAAUUAUAGAAGACACGCUCCUUCAAAUGUAGCAGCAUAGUUAAAAGAACACAGAUGUCUCUGCUGGUUAUCAGGACACUGAAAAGUCUCCUUGAGCUUUGACUUGUUGCCUUAUAAUAUGGAAACACAUACACUUCCCCUUAUUUCCCUGUAGGAAUUUUGUCAGGUCCAACAGAGGACACAAGGAGAAGAAACAAAAUGUAGCCAAAGCAUAUAGCAUUUGGAGCCAGAGAGCCUGGCUUGCAGCCCUCACCAUUUCCUAGGGGAAUUAACUGCCUGACCUCCAAGUGGACAGAGGGAAGACAGGACUCAGGAGCAGGUGGCCUUGUGUAUCCUCAAGAGGAAGAGCUGAACACCAGAGGAGGGCCAGGAGCUACCUAUGAAGGUAGGAUG
rnacentral:lncRNA from 1 species